rnacentral:rRNA from 1 species
GACGAACGCUGGCGGCGUGCUUAACACAUGCGAGUCGAACGGAAAGGCCCUGCUUUUGUGGGGUGCUCGAGUGGCGAACGGGUGAGUAACACGUGAGUAACCUGCCCUUGACUUUAGGAUAACUUCAGGAAACUGGGGCUAAUACCGGAUAGGAGCUCCUGCUGCAUGGUGGGGGUUGGAAAGUUUCGGCGGUUGGGGAUGGACUCGCGGCUUAUCAGCUUGUUGGUGGGGUAGUGGCUUACCAAGGCUUUGACGGGUAGCCGGGCUGAGAGGGUGACCGGACACACUGGGACUGAGAUGCGGCCCAGACUCCUCCGGGAGGCAGCAGUGGGGAAUAUUGCACAAUGGGCGGAAGGCUGAUGCAGCAACGCCGCGUGCGGGAUGACGGGCUUCGGGUUGUAAACCGCUUUCGCCUGUGCAGAAGCGUGAGUGACGGUAAUGGGUAAAGAAGCACCGGCUAACUACGUG